GUGCUGGGUGUUCUUUCCAUCAGCUCAUACACAAGAGACAACAAGAAGACUAUUAUUCAAGAUACUCACAGAGACCCUGAGACACACCAAGAUGCAGACAUUUCGAAUGAAGCUCGCAGUUCUUCUUGGAUGCUUGAUGCUUCUCUCUUCAGCAUUGGCUGAACCUGACCAUGUCAUCGAGAAGCGUUCUUCAUCUUCAUCUUCAAGCAAUGAAGACAGGAAUGGCAACCCGAAUUUCUUGCAGUUCUACAACUUCCUCUUGCUCCUCCAGAGACUUGGUCUGGCUCCUGCCCCUGCCCCUGCCCC